rnacentral:rRNA from 1 species
AACGAACGCUGGCGGCAUGCCUAACACAUGCAAGUCGAACGAGACCUUCGGGUCUAGUGGCGCACGGGUGCGUAACGCGUGGGAACCUGCCCUUAGGUUCGGAAUAACUCCCCGAAAGGGGUGCUAAUACCGGAUAAUGUCUUCGGACCAAAGAUUUAUCGCCUUUGGAUGGGCCCGCGUUGGAUUAGCUAGUUGGUAGGGUAAAAGCCUACCAAGGCGACGAUCCAUAGCUGGUCUGAGAGGAUGAUCAGCCACACUGGGACUGAGACACGGCCCAGACUCCUACGGGAGGGAGCAGUGGGGAAUAUUGGACAAUGGGCGAAAGCCUGAUCCAGCAAUGCCGCAUGAGUGAUGAAGGCCUUAGGGUUGUAAAGCUCUUUUACCCGGGAUGAUAAUGACAGUACCGGGAGAAUAAGCUCCGGCUAACUCCGUG